CCUACGGGAGGCAGCAGUGAGGAAUUUUCCGCAGUGGGCGAAAGCCUGACGGAGCAAUACCGCGUGAGGGAUGAAGGAUUUUGGUCUGUAAACCUCUUUUCUCAAGAAAGAAGUUCUGACGGUACUUGAGGAAUAAGCAUCGGCUAACUCCGUGCCAGCAGCCGCGGUAAUACGGGGGAUGCAAGCGUUAUCCGGAAUGAUUGGGCGUAAAGCGCCUGUAGGUUGUUUAUUAAGUCCGUUGUUAAAGCCUAGGGCUCAACCCUAGAAAAGCAAUGGAAACUAGUAGACUAGAGUAUGGCAGGGGUAGAGGGAAUUUCUAGUGUAGCGGUGAAAUGCGUAGAUAUUAGAAAGAACACCGGUGGCGAAAGCGCUCUACUGGACCAUUACUGACACUCAGAGGCGAAAGCUAGGGUAGCAAAAGGGAUUAGAUACCCCUGUAGUCCUAGCCGUAAACGAUGGAUACUAGAUGUUGUGCAUUAUGUACAGUAUCGUAGCUAACGCGUUAAGUAUCCCGCCUGGGGAGUACGCUCGCAAGGGUGAAACUCAAAUGAAUUGACGGCUGAAGAGUGCGAGNGACGACGAGGAGAGG
rnacentral:rRNA from 1 species